UACGAAGGGUGCAAACGUUGCUCGGAAUUACUGGGCGUAAAGCGUGCGUAGGUGGUUUGUUAAGUCUGUUGUGAAAGCCCCGGGCUCAACCUGGGAAUGGCAAUGGAUACUGGCAGGCUAGAGUGCGGUAGAGGGUAGUGGAAUUCCCGGUGUAGCGGUGAAAUGCGUAGAGAUCGGGAGGAACACCAGUGGCGAAGGCGGCUACCUGGACCAGCACUGACACUGAGGCACGAAAGCGUGGGGAGCAAACAGG
rnacentral:rRNA from 1 species